GAGUUUGAUCAUGGCUCAGAACGAACGCUGGCGGCGGGCCUCAUACAUGCAAGUCGAGCGCGAAAGUCCGCAAGGAUGAGUAAAGCGGCGCACGGGUGAGUAACACGUGGAUAAUCUACCUCUUGGAUUGGAAUAACCUGUCGAAAGACGGGCUAAUGCCGAGUAAGCUUACGAGUUCGUGGAGUUCUUGUAAGGAAAGAUGGCGCAAGCUAUCGCCGAGAGAUGAGUCUGCGUCCCAUUAGUUAGUUGGUGAGGUAAUGGCUUACCAAGACAAUGAUGGGUACCUGGUCUGAGAGGAUGAUCAGGCACACUGGAACUGAAACACGGUCCAGACUCCUACGGGAGGCAGCAGUAGGGAAUAUUGCGCAAUGGGCGAAAGCCUGACGCAGCCACGCCGCGUGAGUGAGGAAGGCCU
rnacentral:rRNA from 1 species